AUUGAACGCUGGCGGCAGGCCUAACACAUGCAAGUCGAGCGGAUGAAGGGAGCUUGCUCCUGGAUUCAGCGGCGGACGGGUGAGUAAUGCCUAGGAAUCUGCCUGGUAGUGGGGGAUAACGUCCGGAAACGGGCGCUAAUACCGCAUACGUCCUGAGGGAGAAAGUGGGGGAUCUUCGGACCUCACGCUAUCAGAUGAGCCUAGGUCGGAUUAGCUAGUUGGUGGGGUAAAGGCCUACCAAGGCGACGAUCCGUAACUGGUCUGAGAGGAUGAUCAGUCACACUGGAACUGAGACAGGGUCCAGACUCCUACGGGAGGCAGCAGUGGGGAAUAUUGGACAAUGGGCGGAAGCCUGAUCCAGCCAUGCCGCGUGUGUGAAGAAGGUCUUCGGAUUGUAAAGCACUUUAAGUGGGGAGGAAGGGCAGUAAGUUAAUACCUUGCUGUUUUGACGGUACCAACAGAAUAAGCACCGGCUAACUUCGUG
rnacentral:rRNA from 1 species